GCUUAGUUCCAGAGCAACAAACUGUGUGUGUUUUAGGGAAAAACAGCUAAUAAACUGUUGGCUAAAUGACAGGAGCAGAUAAUAAGGAUUAGAUAUAAUGCUGAAUAACUAGAUGCUGAUAGUCUGUGACGUAACUCCCAGCAACAUCACCUCAUUUACCCAUCGUAGCUUAACUAGCAGAGCAGCUAGCAGUUAUGAACUCUGUGUAAGCAGUCAGCUUGGUCCUGGUGGUCACCUGGUGUCAUGUUUGCAGGUUUAGAUUUGUUUACAUGUUCCAGAUGUGUCCACAUAAUUAUUCAUUUCAGUGAGUUUCUGACAUAAUGUGAUCAGAUCAAAUGGCUGUCAUGGAGUCACCACUUUAUUUCUGAAUCACUGAAAUUUUUCUCUCCGGUUGAAAUUCUCAGUAAACUCAUUUAUUGAGUUAAUAUUUUAUCAAAGGAUAUUUAUGUCAAAACAAAUUCUUUGUAUGUGGAAUUCAGCAGCUGCGUGUACAAAGAAGCCAUCGCACACAUGUGAGUGUCUGCUUUGGACGCGCUGUUACAGUUUCACGCUCUCUUUGCUUGGAGAGAAGCAUGCACUAAUAAACCCGCUUUGGAUUGGAGCCCAAAGCAGGACAGGAUUCUAAUGUGAUUCACUUGUGUGUCACUUUGAUUGACACUUCAGGUUACUGUGUUAAACUGAACUACACUGUGGCAGCAAAAAAGAGGCCGUUUUAAACUAUUUGUUUACAAUUUGAAAAAUAACAUUUAAUAUAAAAAAUUAAUAAUAAUAAAUAAAGUUAUUGUUUGCUGUGAAGCAGUGGAAAUACUGACAACAUAAACACAAUAAAUUAAACAAAUUGACAUAAUUUACAUCUAUGGCAGUUAAAAAGCCUUUGGUUUAAAAUAUUUAAAAUAAAUAAUCUAGUUAUUGUAUGUUAUUUAUUUCCUUUAUUUAUUGUUGUUCCUUUUGGGGUAUGAACUAAGUUACAUUCUGUGUUGCGCACAGGCCCCGUUAAGUGACACAAAGGGAAGUUAAGAAAGCAUGUGCAAAGAAGCUAAGCCGUAAUUUAACUAAGUCACAAGAAAGAUUAAAUAAGCUUCUUCAAAGUGAAAGGAAGCUGUAAAGAAGAAGAAGAAGUUGGGAAUUGUUUUUUGUUAAGUUUUUGUUUCUGAAGCAGACUCAUUCCCUCACGGCUACAUGCAGCUAGCGAGUUUGACGGUGAAUUUUAUGGUGGUUCGGAGAAGUGUGACGAAAGAAUAAAUCCAUCUGUGAAUGAAGAACCGUGGUGUCGUGUAUUACCUGGAGGGAGUGAUACGCUUCAAAGGCAGGUUCUGAAGCCUCUGCACUGCUGUGCCAUCAAUCUGUUGUACAGUAUUUGCGGUUUACCUCUCAGACUGACUGAAGUCCAAGAAGAUGAUGGAGGAAGAGGAGGACAGAGCAGAGUCUGCAGGAUCCAGCUGUCCGUCUGUGAUGCAUGACCGCUCCAAAGGCCUAAAUCCACUCUUCAGUGCUGAACCUGAACCAACGAGAGGUCAGAGAUCACAGUCUGCAGGGUCCAGCUGUCCGUCUGUGAGGAGUGACUGGUCCAAAGGUUACCCUCCAUGUUUCACUAAUAAACCUGGACCAACGAGGUCAGAGAGCUGUGAUGACUCCUUUACAUGUUUGUCUUUUCCUGGAUAAAUAUGACCUGAAACAUCCUCAGAUUGUUACAAAGAUUCAU